rnacentral:rRNA from 1 species
CAGUCGCCGCGGUAGUACGUAGGGUGCGAGCGUUAAUCGGAAUUACUGGGCGUAAAGCGCGCGCAGGCGGUUCGUUAAGACAGAUGUGAAAUCCCCGGGCUUAACCUGGGAACUGUAUUUGUGACUGGCGAGCUAGAGUAUGGCAGAGGGGGGUAGAAUUCCACGUGUAGCAGUGAAAUGCGUAGAGAUGUGGAGGAAUACCGAUGGCGAAGGCAGCCCCCUGGGCCAAUACUGACGCUCAUGCACGAAAGCGUGGGGAGCAAACAGGAUUAGAUACCCGUGUAGUCCCUGUCUCUUAUAC